GUAGGUGAACCUGCGGAAGGAUCAUUAUUGAUUCUGUAGAGGAAUGUGCUGGCUUCAAAGGAGCAAGGUGCACUCCCUCUCAAAAUCUCAUUCACCUGUGCACAUAUGAUGGGCAUUGGAAAGGAAGCCAAGACAAUUUGGUUCCCAACUUUUGCUCGUUGCAUUUUCUCACACCAAACUAUGAUAUUGUAUUUGAAAUCAAAUGUAACAACUUUCAACAAUGGAUCUCUUGGUUCUC
rnacentral:misc_RNA from 1 species